rnacentral:rRNA from 1 species
GCAAGUCGAACGGUCUUUCUAUGGAAGCUUGCUUCCACUGAGAAGAUAGUGGCGAACGGGUGAGUAACACGUGGGUAACCUGCCCAUAAGAGGGGGAGUAACGAUCCGGAAACGGGUGCUAAUACCGCAUAGUUUUCUUGAUCGCAUGAUUGAGAAAGGAAAGACGGCCUUUGUGCUGUCGCUUAUGGAUGGACCCGCGGCGUAUUAGUUAGUUGGUGAGGUAACGGCUCACCAAGACGAUGAUACGUAGCCGACCUGAGAGGGUGAUCGGCCACAUUGGGACUGAGACACGGCCCAAACUCCUACGGGAGGCAGCAGUAGGGAAUCUUCCGCAAUGGACGAAAGUCUGACGGAGCAACGCCGCGUGAGUGAAGAAGGUUUUUUCGGAUCGUAAAACUCUGUUGUCAGAGAAGAACAAGUUGGAGAGUAACUGCUCCAGCCUUGACGGUAUCUGACCAGAAAGCCACGGCUAACUACGUGCCAGCAGCCGC